UUUCUUUCUGCUUCUCUCUCUAGUUAUAUAGUUAACCAUAUCAGAAAUGGGGGUUUUGUUGUUUCUUAAGCAUUACAUAUAUAUAUAUAUAUAAUUUCAAUCCGAAUCACAGCGCAUGAUAAGGAUAUUAUGGAGGGUUGGAAAUAUAUAUAUAUAAAUGUGUGUGUGUGGCGCAUGAUAAGGAUAUUAUGGAGGGUUGCCAAAUUAUUUCCACUCAGCUUCUGGGAUAAAGGUGCUUUAAUGAUCUUGGUCCUUGGUGUUCACUGACAGUGCCCAACAAUAGUUCCCAUUAGUGGAAGUAAGCUACUGAAGUCGUCCAAAAAACCAGUCAAAGUGGUUAUCAUUUACUUGGACUUUUUCCUUCUCAUAUUUGAAUUUUCAAGAACCAGAAACUGUGAUGUAAGUUUAGGGAUGGGUAAACUAUGUUUGGAUAAUCGCGGUUACCUACCUAUUUAAAGUUCACGGUUAGGAUUAUGGGUAACUGUUUAGAUGAACAAACAGUUAUGGGUAUAAUCGUUUAUCUGUGAAAUUUAAAUUGGCGGUUAUGAGUAUUACCCACGGUUAUAACAGGUAUCCAUCGGUUAUGGGUAUUACCCGUGGUUAUAACGGGUAUCAAUUUACCCAUUUAAUUUAAUAUAUGUAAAAUUAAAAAAAAAUAAAAAAUAAAAACCCUAUGAUCCUAUCCUUCUAUAAAUUUCCUUGUCAUGUAACAAAUGGAACUCACCAAAUUCGCAACUCAACACCCAUCUCUCUAUUUCUUUCUGCUUCUCUCUCUAGUUAUAUAGUUAACCAUAUCAGAAAUGGGGGUUUUGUUGUUUCUUAAGCAUUACAUAUAUAUAUAUAUAUAAUUUCAAUCCGAAUCACGAUAUUAUGGAGGGUUGGAAAUAUAUAUAUAUAAAUGUGUGUGUGUGGCGCAUGAUAAGGAUAUUAUGGAGGGUUGCCAAAUUAUUUCCACUCAGCUUCUGGGAUAAAGGUGCUUUAAUGAUCUUGGUCCUUGGUGUUCACUGAAAGUGCCCAACAAUAAUUCCCAGUAGUGGAAGUAAGCUACUGAAGUCGUCUAAAAAACCAGUCAAAGUGGUUAUCAUUUACUUGGACUUUUUCCUUCUCAUAUUUGAAUUUUCAAGAACCAGAAACUGUGAUAUAAGUUUAGGGAUGGGUAAAAUAUGUUUGGAUAACCGCGGUUACCUACCCAUUUAAAAUUCACGGUUAGGAUUAUGGGUAACUGUUUAGAUGAACAAACAGUUAUGGGUAUAACCGUUUAUUUGUGAAAUUUAAAUUGACGGUUAUGAGUAUUACCCACGGUUAUAACAGGUAUCCAUCGGUUAUGAGUAUUAUCCGUAGUUAUAACGGGUAUCAAUUUACCCAUUUAAUUUAAUAUAUGUAAAAUUAAAAAAAAAUAAAAAAUAAAAACCCUAUGAUCCUAUCCUUCUAUAAAUUUCCUUGUCAUGUAACAAAUGGAACUCACCAAAUUCGCCACUCAACACCCAUCUCUCUAUUUCUUUCUGCUUCUCUCUCUACUUAUAUAGUUAACCAGAUCAGAAAUGGGGGUUUUGGUUGUGAAAUUGAUCUUAAUAUACUUGUUUUUCAG
rnacentral:lncRNA from 1 species